rnacentral:lncRNA from 10 species
GAAGUGUGUGGUGAUCUGACUUACUAGUGAAGAGGAUGACGCCAGCUGCUGUGUCAAGAGCAGCACUCAAGGAACAAAUGUAGCAGAAGACCAGUUCCUAUACUACUGCCAUGAUCCACAAGAAAGCAAGAGUAGGGGCUUGGAGAAGGUGCUGGUGGUGGGGUUCUUGGAUGUAUUCACCAUCUAGGACCAAAAGUAUUUGCUGAAGUGUUGCAAACUUGUCAGAAGUUGAUGUGCAGCAGAGAGUAGCAACUCUGACAAUAAAAGGGUCUUGCUAUGUCUUGUUGACCCAGGAUCUGGCACAGGCUCAUCUUAGGGACCCAAAAAAGAAACCUGCUGAUUAUGGACCAGGUGAACAAUGACAAGAAGGGCUAUUACCUGCGGAAGUUUCAGAAGUCUAAGAAAGGUUUCCAGGCUUCAGCCAUCCUAUCAGUUCUGUGGUGAAUAAAUUAUUAUCCUUUAACCUCAAUCUCAGUAUCAGAUGAAGAAGUUCCCCUGGGGUGAUGCUGGUGACCCUCACAUUUCCCGCCUUGCACUGAGCACAAUGUCGAAGGCUGACAAAGAUGAACGACUACAAUCAAUUCUAUAACUGCAAACUCAGACCUAUUAAAUAAAAGUUCAUUUCUGCUUCUCAAUCUUGGAGGCUAUUGUGGGCCUCACUAAAAAUCGACAAGUGAAAAAUUCUGAAAUAAAUGAGACUUAAUAACACAACUUAGAAACCAGUGCUCUUAUAAUCAAAUGGAUAACUUAAUUUAUUAUAUACCAUUAAAAUAUUUCAAAAUAGAAUCAAAUCAUGACACAAACCCAAAGUGAAAAAAGCAUUUUAUUUUCAUACAAAUUUUAUCACACAGUUUUAUUUGUCUUGGACAUUGCACAUCAAGUCCUCUUAUUCAUUUUUAUUUUAAUCAGACAAGAUUUUUCAGAACCUUGCCUACUUUUGAAACAACGUCAUUCAAAGUAGAUGUUAGUGGUCCAGUUUACACUUUAGAUCAUGUACAGACAAAAUAAGAAUGAACGUUGAACACAGGAUGUGGAAGGGGCGCAAGUUAGUGUCUACAUUUAGAACCUCCAGUAGUUCUUACAAACAUAAGCUUAAUUUUACAGUACAGGAGGGCUCAAAGAUCUGUACCAUUGCCACAUGGUGGGGCCUGUAUGCCCCUGUGAUGGCUGAAAGUUGAUCUUGUGCCUCAAUUACACAAUGAUUGGUUCCACCAUGUAAUGAGAAAAUCUCAACGGGCUACUAGUUAACUACCAAGCCUUGUUAUUUUCGGAGUAUCUUGCAUCUUUCCAGCAGUAGCUUAUUUAGGGGAGGCAGGUAGGAAAUGUCCUCCCACUUAGGAAGCUUCAGAACAUGUUACAGUAGGUAAUUAGGCAAACAUGAGCAGGGCAGAAGAGGGCCCCACACCAGUAUUGUCAGGAGACCAUCCAGUGAUGGUCAGGUGGUUGUUAAACUGUCUCUUUAAAAUAAUAAUUGGUUGUAGUUGGCACCAGGGAGAGGCAGUCUCCUAACAGAUAGAAAAGCCUGAAACUGGUGAUCAGCAGCUUCCUAAUAAUAUCUCAGGAGUUGGAUGAGUGGGCUCAAGCAUACACACUGAGAGGCAAAAAUGGUGGCAUCUGACUGCUAUACGAUCUUCCUCUAGGAACAUUCAGCUGGCAAGGGAAAAUGCCUCAAGUGAGUAUGUUCACAACUCCAGUAAUCACACUGCGCAUGCGGCCCCUCCCAAGUGCUGGCAGGUCACUGCACAUACUGACAGCCUACUGCAAUGAAAGAAUCAGGGGAGAAUGGACACAAGACCCCGGAAGGAUGCCAAUGUAUGAAACCCCAAGUCAAAGCAACCUAUGUACUUGGAUCUCUCAAGUUGCCCACUUGGCCCUCUUCCAAGUGUACCUUACUUCCUUUUGUUCCUGCUCUAAAACCUUUUAAUAAACUUUCACUCCUGCUUUAAAACUUGCUUCAGUCUCUCCCUCUACCUCAUGUUCCUUGGUCAAAUUCUUUCUUCUGAGGAGGCGAGAAUUGAGGUUGCUGUAGACGCGUGUAGAUUCACCAGUGCUAACAAACACAGUUUACUGAACUGUUGCAGGUUCCACCCUCACUUCCGUGAAAGCAACGUGAGCCAAUUGUGACCCAUCAUGUCAGUAGUUUCAGUGGUGGGAUUGCAUGAAAAACACAAUGGUGAAACUCAUUCCUUUUAAAUGACAGUUCUGUACAAGUGUUCCUUCCUACUGAGAUUCCCAUGACGUUCGUCUCCAGGGUUGCGUUAGCAUUUCUCCAAGGAAGCUUGUCCCAGCCCUUUGAGUAGGAGCUGCACUGCAGGGCUGGAAUGAUGGGUUGGAAGGUCGCUCUCACUAAUAUGAGCUAUGGUGACUUCGUGCAAGUGAAUUGUGAACAGUAAUUCAGCUGAACUAAAUGGGAGCACUCAGGAAAACUUAAGGCAAAGGGGAAAAAGGAGUUAGAGUAGACAUGAGACUCACAAAGCUUACGUGGGAUUUCUUGAGAAAGAGCCUCCUCAGGUACUCAGUUGAUGGCCCAUGGCAAGACUGAAAUUAUUGCCAAGUUCGCUAGUGAGUGGGAUUUAAGAUAAUAAAAACUCCACAUUGCUAAAAGCCAAAAAGCCAAACUUUGUGCCAUGUUUUAUGUCAGAAAAUGUGCUUAUAGAAUGCCACAUAGGCCAAAGUUCACACUUAUUUUUUUUUCUCAAUUUGAAAAGGAAGUGGGGGUUACAACAAUGUCUCACAUAUCCCACUGUGUAUUUACAGUGGAGUUAGUUUUUCCAAGCCAGAAAAACAAGACCCCUCAGCUGUCAGAUAUCAAACUGGAUCAACAUUACCGAUGCAUUAGUAGAUAAUUCUCCGUAUUAGUUCUCAUGUUUCUAUUACGUAUAACUUACUUUUUAACCACAGCUUUGCUUUAAACUAUAAUUAAAAAGUCAACUGAAUCUCUGUGAAAACAAAUGGCUCCUGAGAUUUUGAAACUACCAGAAACUACCAGAAAUUUAAACAGCCUCAGGAGACAGCACCUACAGGAAUAAUGACAAGCCUGUAGAUUGCAUACCGAAAAUUACUUAGUUGUUAACUAAUUUAUGACUUGGAAUUUUGAUAAUAACUUUCAGCCAGUAGGGUCAUUGUGAAGACUUUAAAACUGCUGUGCAAGUCAGAAUGUGACUCAGCCACAGAGAACUGAGACUUUUUCAAUCUGAGGGCAUGGUGGGAGGUGGGUCCUUCCUAACUACCUUGUGGGGGUACAGGAAGAAAGAGAAAGAUCCCCACAGAGGCUGACUGUGUUGGCCUAAGUGUGGGGAUUUCCACCAAGCACCCUAGUGAUGCCCAUGCUGCUGGCCUAAGGACCUUGCUGUGGGCACCACAGGACUUGGGACUUCACCCCUCAGAGUGGGAAGCUUCUCUUCCUCAUCUGGCCUGUGCUGGAACCCACGGUGAACGGCUUCUUGGAGCAGAAUGUGCAACUCUGACAGAGAGUAAAUUCUUCCUCAUGUUAAACUGAGGAUUGCGCAACCCCUGAUAUGGCAGUCUUGCUGAUACAACUUGCUGCAAAGAGACACCCACACUUUUCCCAGGGCUGAGAAGACAAGCAGUUGAUGAUCUAUAUUGUGGCUGUACUUGUGAACCUGGGAGCUGACAGGCAGGAUCACUGAACCCCUCCCUCAAAUCUGAGGAAGUCUAAGGGCUAUGAUCCCUGUGGUCAGCUGGCCGAGGCAUUCUCCCUAGAAACAGGCCUCUGCAUGGAUUCAAGUUCACUGAUUUGCUGAAGAGUUGUUAGGAUUCUGUCCAGGAGGGACAGACAUUCCACCCUCACUCUCAUCAACCCCCAAAACGUGUAGGUUUGGAUAAAUCCCAGGGAUCAUCCUCAAUUGGCUCAUUUAAAGAUAGAGAAGUCUGGGCACAGUGGUUCACGCCUGUAAUCCUAGCACUUUGGGAGGCCGAGGCAGGUGGAUCACAAGGUCAGGAGUUCGAGACCAGCCUGACUAACAUGGUGAAACCCCGUGUCUACUAAAAAUACAAAAAUUAGCUGGGCAUGGUGGCACGCACCUGUAACCCCAUCUACUCAGGAGGCUGAGGCAGGAGAAUCACUUGAACCUAGGAGAUGGAGGUUGCAGCAAGACGAGAUUGCGCCACUGCACUCCAGCCUGGGUGACACAGCGAGACUCUGUCUCAGAAAAAAAAAAAAAAAAAGAUGGGGAAGCAGAGGCUUUUGGAGAGGAAGAAACUCCCUUGGGAUUCACAUGUUGCGAUUGAGGUUGCACCAAGACCAGUGUCAAGCGUGUGGCACCUUUUCCUUCACAAUACACGACCUGAGACACUAAAGUUGACAGUAUAUUCUGGAUUCAGUUAGAUGCCUUUAGCUCAUCACAGAAACCUUAAAACAGUGCUUUUAAAAAUAAAUUACCAUGCAAGGAAAAACUGGAUUCUUGUAAAACAGUAAGUACUAUCUAUGUAUACAGGCUUAAGAAUAAAAACAGAUGUGUCAAGAAACGAAGUAAAUCACCCACAGUCUGAUCAUAGUAAGACAAUCCUGUCUUGUUGCAGACUAAAAGUUUGUGUCCCCCAAAACUCAUAUGUUGAAAUCGAGUCCCCCAUGUGAUCAUACUUGGAGGUGGGGCCUUUGGGAGGUAAUUAGGUCAUGAGAGUGGAGCCUCAUAAGUGGAUGAGUGCCCUUACGAAAAGAGGACCUGGAGCCAGCUCACUUUCUCACUGCCAUGUGGGGCACAAGAGGGGCUUCACCAGAAGCUGACCACGCUGGCACUCUGAUCUCAGACUUCCAGUCUCCGGAACUGCGAGAAAUAAAUGUUUGCUGUUUACCAGUCGGUGAUAAUUUUCCCAGCAGCUAGGGUUGACUGAGACAUGGCUGGAAAAGAGGCCAAGCAUCAUCAUGGCCAAACUUCUUCUCUUCUUAGAGCCAACACUUCCUCAGGGGGCACUUAACACCCCUGUCCCAUCACACUCCACUUACUGAAGCAAAUUCUCCCACCUGAUCACAUACAGACGGGCCAGCUCUGAGGAGACAUGCAAUCUCCUUGUGAAACUCAUCACUCUUGAAGCGUGAUAUGAAGCAAUGUCCUUAUAGUGCUCACCUAAAUGGAUAAAUGGCACCAGUCUUCUGAUGGGAAAAUCCACAGGAAAAGUUCAAGUCUUGACCCUAAUUACAGAAGAAAUGAGCUCACUGCAGUCAUGAAACUCUGAGUCUAGAAGUGUCAUUUCCACACCGAGCCAGGCAGUUUCUUUAUUCCCUGAACCAUAUGUUUAUUUCUUAGCUGAACUAUUCUGUGAGUGGUUGUCAAGAACUAAGAUUUGUUAAAUUUGUUUAUUUUUGCUUUUCUCUCAGCUCAAAAUUAGAAACAUAUGUUCAUCACCUCCACAUAUGAGUAGUUCAGCAUGAACUGUUUUUCUCAUUUUAUUCCGAGCAGAUUAGUCAAAAUAGUUCUCAUUUCAAUGUUGACCUGAAAAAAGUAAGACAUGCUUGACUUAUUUUAUUAAUUGUGUUUCCUUUAUAAACUAGCAAAUGAACUUAAUUAACUGAAAUAUGGCCGUGCAUCUCAGUGACAUAAUGAGCGAUACUUUCAGGUGAGAGAUGCUAAAGGCAUCAUUAAGCCUGUGGAAGCAACAUGAAGAGACACAUCAGAGGCAUCAAGUCCCAUAGUUCAUGUCUGAAGUAGAGACUGCUAAUGGAAUCUGGGACUUUUCAUCUCCAGUGUUC